rnacentral:rRNA from 1 species
GACAGAGGUGCCGAGCGUUAGGCGGAAUCACUGGGCUUAAAGCGUGUGUAGGCGGACCGUUAAGUACCUUGUGAAACUCCCCCGGCUCAACCGGGGGAACGGCCUGGGUAGUACUGGCGGUCUUGAGCCAUCCAGGGGCAGUCGGAACAGACGGUGAGCGGUGAAAUGCGUAGAUAUCGUCUGGAACGCCGAAGGUGAAACAGAACUGCU